UACAGAGGUCCCCAAGCGUUGUUCGGAUUUACUGGGCGUAAAGGGUGUGUAGGAGGUCAGAUAAGUCGGAUGUGAAAUCCCAUCGCUUAACGGUGGAACUGCAUUCGAUACUGUUUGGCUAGAGGAUCGGAGAGGAGAGCGGAAUUCUUGGUGUAGCGGUGAAAUGCGUAGAUAUCAAGAGGAACACCAGCGGCGAAAGCGGCUCUCUGGAAGACUCCUGACUCUG
rnacentral:rRNA from 1 species